GACGAACGCUGGCGGCGUGCUUAACACAUGCAAGUCGAACGGAAAGGCCCUGCUUUUGUGGGGUGCUCGAGUGGCGAACGGGUGAGUAACACGUGAGUAACCUGCCCUUGACUUUGGGAUAACUUCAGGAAACUGGGGCGAAUACCGGAUAGGAGCUCCUGCUGCAUGGUGGGGGUUGGAAAGUUUCGGCGGUUGGGGAUGGACUCGCGGCUUAUCAGCUUGUUGGUGGGGUAGUGGCGUACCAAGGCUUUGACGGGUAGCCGGCCUGAGAGGGUGACCGGCCACAUUGGGACUGAGAUACGGCCCAGACUCCUACGGGAGGCAGCAGUGGGGAGUAUUGCGCAAUGAGCGGAAGCCUGAUACAGCAACGCCGCGUGCGGGAUGACGGCCUUCGGGUUGUAAACCGCUUUCGCCUGUGACGAGGCGUGAGUGACGGUAAUGGGUAAAGAAGCACCGGCUAACUACGUG
rnacentral:rRNA from 1 species